rnacentral:lncRNA from 1 species
AGCUGGGAAGUAAUUUUUGUGUAGAAGAAUUUCCAUAAGUUUUUCUUCAAAGCUCUCUUUGCUGAGAGAACAUCUUAUGUCUUGUAACAUUCUAUUUCAAAGUUUGAAUGCAUAUUCUGUUUAUGUUAUCUUACUCUCUGUACGUGAUUUUGAAAACAUAACUGCAACCACACCAGAGGUCCAAAUGGUACGUUUUAUAUGUCAUAUGAAAGAUAUUUGAGUCUACUUUCCAUGAAAAAAAACCUCAUCUCAUUUAGAGUUCUGUAGAAAAAGUUAUGGGUAAAACAUUGAGCAAAGGUCAGAGCUGUCCAGUUUUCGGAUUUUUGUGUUUUGGGUGUUUCUGUACGCGAUUUUAAAAAAAUAACUGCAACCACACCAGAGGUCCAAAUGCUACGUUUUAUAUGUCAUAUGAAAGAUAAUUGAGUCUAUUUUCCAUGAAAAAAAACCUCAUCUCAUUUAGAGCUCUGUAGAAAAAGUUAUGGGUAAAACAUUGAGCAAAGGUCAGAGCUGUCUAGAAAGGAAUGGGUAUCACGUUUUCUUGUGUUUGAAUGAAGGGAAAAUAUUUUCUUAUCAUUUUGCUUCUUGUGCAGUAAAAAAUGAAUAAUCUUUUCUAGAAUUUCUUUGGGUUCUCACGGUUUUCACUUUUAUUUGGUCAAGCAAAAUAUUUUUCUUUUCUUUUAAGAUCAUUCAUGUGCUCACGGUUUCAACUUCUUGAAAGCAAAGUUCAUGUUUCUUUUCUUCAAUUUAUUUUAUGAAAAGUAAUUGUUUUUCUAGAAGAAGUGGGGUAAUGGCUGAAAAAUUUCCUUGACUUGGAUGGACACAAAUACAUUGGUAAGAGACAAAAGACACUUCCAAAUUCUUCUUAACAUGACUCAUGGUGGGACUUGGUGAUGAGAUGUUCCUUUGCCUAAUUGACUAAAAGAAAUGAAAAUACUAAAUGAUGGUGCAAGGUUAUGAGGUAAAUUCUAAAAUUGAUGCAAUCUUAAUUAAUGAAACACUGAGAACUCCAUAAGUCAUGAACAAAGAAAAUUAAUUUGUAGCAUUUUCAGUUUCUUUAAACACUUGGUGACAUGAAAAUAAAAAAAAAAGAAUUUAUUUCUGUUUUUAAUUUAUUUUACUGAGUUUGUUGAGUUUGUUUUUAAUUUAGUAUAGUAUUUUCCGUGUUUUUAAUAAUGUUUGGUUGUAUUUAAUUCCAAUUUUAAUUUAGUUUAAUUUUUUUUCUUGCCAUUUAAUUUUGCUGCAAUUUUAAUUUUUGUAUUACCAUUUAAUUCUUGCCAUUUAAUUUCAGUUUUACAGUUUUUUGUAUUUUCUAUUUUGCUGUAUUCUAUUUCUUUUACUAUUUCUGUCUCUAAAUUCCUUUAUUUUAUUUUCUAUUUCUUUUAAUAUUUCUGUAUUAAUUGAAUUUCUGUCUCUAAAUUCCUUUAUUUUCUGUACUGUUAUUUUAAUUUCUGUUAUACUGUUUUU